rnacentral:lncRNA from 1 species
GAUAGGCAACUUUCAUAGUAGGAUUUGGGAUUGGCAUUUGAUAGCAUCGGUUUGGUGCAGUGAGAAGUGAAAACCGAUGUAGCUCUUUCAUGCAUGACGAAAAUUAAGGUGCUAACUUAGACUUGUUGACUCGUUUAGUUUGGUAAUGCCUUUAGCUUAUCCUUCCUUCCUAGUCUCAUGUAGGUUGAUUGAGUCACGGAUUAAUCGAAUGCUAUUAACAAAAUUAACUACAAUAUUUUUAUUCAAGGAAAAAUUACACUAACUUUCUCAUACAUAUCUUUUAAAUUCAAAACCACAUCCCCUAUAGCUAUUAAACAUAAAAACACUCACUUACCACCAAAAUAGUAUUCUUCUUCAUCUGUAUAUUGUUUGAAUACCAACCUUUCUUCAAAGAAACUAAUAAUAAACAUGAAGUACAAGGAAAAAUAAGAGAAAUACAAAUAUUUUAAUAUUAAUAGAUAACAAACACAAUGAUGAUAGCUCAAUAUUAACGUGACCUGAUAGGAUCAAUAAAUAAUUAUUAAAAUAAAUCCUGAUAUCAUAAAAAAAUCAAUAUCUAAUUUAAUUAUAUAAAACCGAAUAAUUAGUAUAAGAUAAGAAUUCAUUAGAGAAAAAAAAGAUACAAUUUUUUUUUUUACUAUAUCCGUAAUUGACAUGGAAUACUUAACAAAAUUUGUCUCAAAUCAAACUUAAGAAUGUAUAACAAAAUUAGGCCCAGUCUUGAUCAUACUUUUGAUUUAAACUUUGCCACGUCUCUUCCUAUUCAAAUUCUAUGUUUAUGUGACCCAACAAUUUGUGGAUGUAAUAGCCUGGAAUUUAAUAUUAUUGGGUUUGUUUAAUUUCAAAGUACUUUGCGUCUUGUUAGAAGUUGAAAGGCUUAUAAUGUAAGGGUAUUGUUAAUCAAUGUUUAAAAAAUUAAGAGUUUUUUUUAUUAAAAAUUAUAUGAAAAUAUAUUUUAAAAUUAUAAGAAAAUACAAUUUUUUCAUAUUCUAAUAAAAAAAUUCCUUUCAACUCCUUUACCAUUGUCUUAAUUGCCUUAAAGACACUAAUUAACAUUUAUCAUAAUAUAAUAGACUUAUAAAUACUCUUUUUCUUGUUGUUAAUGUAUCUUUAAUGUAAAUAUUUAAUUUGAGUUUUAAACUUUUUUUAAUGAAUCUUUUACUGUCACAGGAUUUAAGAAUAAUAGCUAAUUUUUACUAUAAUAGAAGAAUUUAAUUUAGGUUCUUAAUUUAUUUUUAGUCUACCGUGUUUUAUCUUUUUACUCAUAUAAUAACCUUUAUUUUGAUUUAAAAAUUAUUUUUUUAAUGGUUAAACAACUUUAUUUGUGGAGGAAAACAUGCAUAAACACACACAUGACCCCAGGCACCCAUUUUUUAUGUUUAAUAGCAUUUUUAAGAUGAUACUGUAAAAUAAAAAAAACAAAAAAAAAACAGCAUUUAUAAGAUUGAAACCACUGACUAUUUGAUUGGACUCUUAGAAAUUGCCGAUAGGCAUCGUGCCAUUGCCAUAUGCUUUUUUGAACUGCUUCUGUCUGGCUUGUGCUUUUGUCCUAAGCAGUUCAGAAAAGCAGAAAAUAAAACUUGGAUUGUACCUGAUCUCCUGUCCGUACCACAGUUUUGUUCACGGGGGCAUGGAAUCUUCAAUCCUGUUUUUGUUGAUACGUAUGAUUCAGAUUCUGCAAAUCAUUUCAAUCAUGAAAUCAACAGUAAACCCCAUUAAAUGCAAACCAUUGUAUCAGGAGUGGUGACAAAUGUAUGUGAGGGGCGGAGCCUGCAAAAACGGACUUGGCUGUUUUCAAAACCCGUACAGCCCAUUGUUUGUUUUUCAAAGAGUUAAUACACAAUUUAGUUCUUGAGAUUGUAUCUGUUUUGUAUAUUAGUUAAAUUUAAAAUAGUCUGUAUCUUUGCAUAAUUAUUGUAAAAUAGUUCUUUCGUUAAAUUUUAAAGUAACGCUGUUAGUGAGAUUAAUUUUAGUGUCACGUGAACGAUCCAACGUGACACUAAAGGAUGACGUGGCAUGGCACGUGAACGUGCCUCUUAAAAGAUGCCACGUCAUUUGAUGAUAACAAAUUGAUUAAAUAGGUAAUUUAGUCUCUGACUUUGUACCCAUGUUGCAUAUUAGUCCCUAACUUAAUGAAAAAUUCAAAAUAGUCCCUAUCUUUUGCAUAAGUGUUGCAAAAUAGUUAUUCCGUUAAAUUUUAAAAUAAUGUUGUUAGUGAGGUCAAUUUUAGUGCCACGUCAUUUGAUGAUGAUAGAAUGAGUGUCUUCUUCAAAUCUGAUGGUUCUAAACCAAUUGAGACAUAUAUACGAAAAAGAACUCACACACACUUGCACAAAUAAAAAGAAUCAAAAAUCCACAGCAACAACCUUAUUUUUGUAGCCGUCAACACCAAUGGACGAGGUCUGCAUAACCAUUCUCUUUUCCUCUUUUUUUUUCUUCAAUUACCAUAAAUGUAUCAUUCCGGGUUUUUAUUUUUUUUUGUUUUCUAAAUAGGAAGAGAGAAAAAAUCAAAGGAAACAAAGUGGAGGAGAAAAUAACAGAGGAAGAAGAAAAGAAAGAAGAAGAGAAAAAAUUACAAGAAUCAAAAGAUGAUAAGGAAUCCAAGGAGGAAUCUGCGCCGCCAGAAAUCGUGCAAGGCACAACCUUUGCAAUGCAUGGACACUUUAAGCACGAUUUCUGGCAUCUUUUAAGUUAGGGACUAUUUUGCAACACUUAUGCAAAAGAUAGAGAUUAUUUUAAAUUUUUCGAACUAAUAUGCAACAGGAAUACAAAGCCAG